GAGGGUACAGCUCAAAGUGGUAGAGCACACGCUUACCAUGCAUGAGGUCCUGGGUUCAUUCCCCAGUACCUCCC
rnacentral:tRNA from 1 species